rnacentral:rRNA from 1 species
AACGAACGCUGGCGGCGCGCCUAACACAUGCAAGUCGAACGAGAAUCCGGGGCAACCCGGUAGUAAAGUGGCAAACGGGUGAGGAAUACAUGGGUAACCUACCCUUGAGAAGGGAAUAACCCGCCGAAAGGUGAGCUAAUACCCUAUACGCUAUCUUUUUUCGAAAGGAAUAGGAAAGACCGGGUCGAGGACCUGGUACUCAAGGAGGGGCGUCAUGUCCUAUCAGCUUGUUGGUGGGGUAACGGGCCUACCAAGGCUACGACGGGUAGGCUGGUCUGAGAGGAUGAUCAGCCACACUGGCACUGAGAUACGGGCCAGACUCCUACGGGAGGCAGCAGUGAGGAAUAUUGCGCAAUGGGCGAAAGCCUGACGCAGCGACGCCG